GGUCCCGCGCGCCGACCGCGCUGAUUGGCCGCUGGGGCUUCAUUCAUGGCCCCCCCCCUCCCCGCUGCCGUCCGCGUACACAUUCACGCCCCGGGGGCGCGGCCGCCACGUGGGGAGUGGCGCGGGGGUGGCACUGGGACCGCACCCCCUCCGGUCCCGGUUGCGUGGGCCCCGCUUUCCCCGCAGCGCGGGAGACUCGGAGCCGGGUCGGUCCCACGUUCCACACGAGCUGGCUUUCCAGCCGCGUCCCACUGGGGCGGGGGGGGAUUGCGGGCUCCGGGAGGCGCUCGGGCUCCAAGCAGAGGCUCAGCCCCGCACUCCUCCCUGCGCGGCGCCGCUGCCUGCGGGCCGGGAUCCCGCGAGUCUGGGCUGCGGCGAGAGCGAGAGAGCGGGGUGGCUUCCUGGCUCUGCACCGCUCAGCUGCUCACCUCCGCGGCCUCGCCUCCGGCGUCUCGGUGCCCUCCCCUUCGCGCCGUUCCCCCGGUCUUGGUUUUCCCUCUUCUCCCUCUUAGACUCAGCGUCACCGCUACCUGGACCUCUCCAGGCCUGAAGGUGCGGCCGGCUCGGACGCAGUCGGAUCCGCUCCGGCUUCACGCCUCUCGCUGGCUCUCCGGCUUUCUCCCUGGACACGCCGAGGCCAGAUCUUUUCCUGGAGUUUCACGGCCCUCACCCUUGGCUGGGACCGUCUUUGUAACCGUCUGGUUCAAAACCAAGUUGGCGGCAGUCUUUUACCAGAAUGGUUAAAGUUUGAUUGACGUGGAAGGGAGGAGCCAAGAGCGCUUAGUGGAGUUAGAGGACAGAGUGGCAUACUUCAUCGAUGAGGCUCCUGAGACAGAGCCAAGACAGAAAACGAAUGUUGGAACACAACAAGAGUCAGUCCCCUGGACCUGAACUAUGCCUGGAAUAUUCUGCAGCCGGAGCUGAAAAAAGAUGGCUACAGCAUGGACUAGAAUCAUUGUCAUGGAAGGAAGUCCUCCCUCCAGGGACUUCUCUUGGGAUCAUCUCAACUUUCCCAUUGCGGUGUGCCUGUGGGUGAUGCCUCCUCAUCUCAUUCUCCUCUCUACUAAGAAGUCUCUCAUUUGAUCCGGAUGUGGCUCUCAGACACUGCUCCAGUGCCACGUGUGCUGCCAUGCUCCUACCAUGAUGGUGAUGGACUAACCUGCAAGCAAGCCCCUGCCUUCUUUUAUCCACCAUGCUGGUCCACUGUACUGAUGGCAUCAUUCUCCUUAAACCCAGUGAACAGGAAGUGGCAAGUACUUGGAUGCCCUCAUAAGAGACACGCAUAUCAAGAUGCAAGAAAUAAGCCAAGCAGAGAUUCAGGAAGGCAUGGCCACAGGAGUUCGUCAUGGGGCUGUUCGUCAUGAUCAUCGCCAAUCGGGAAACAGAGAGGAACGAACACUCGCGCUCAGCUUCUUUUCUUCUUUUGAGUCAGCGCAGGUUCCUAGCCCACCGCCUGGAGCCACCCACCCUGAUGAGACGUGAACAAACAGCCUUACGCUAAUGCUGCCACAACCGCCAGCGGCUCCUACUGCUGUGUGUCCCUCACCAGGAUGGACUAUUGCCACCAACAAUGAACCAAGAUAAAUUCUUCCUCCCUUAAGUUGCUUUCUGUCAGCUUUUGGUGACAGUGACGAGAAAAUCAACUAGUAUAGUAGCCAUUGAAAACGUAAUAAUCAGUAAAGGCCAUGCCGCUGGUAUUUCAAAAUGACCUGGACCUGAUGACUAUUCCCCCUGGGCUUAGUAGGGACUCAGUGAAUGUAUUGCUUCGCCACAUGAGAGGUAAAUAUACUCACAAGCACUUAGGAGAUUGUUAAUCAAGCCGUUAGAUGUGUUUGUUUUUUACGGAGUUUAAAAUAAUGCCCAUCGUGGUAGGGACUCAAUAAAUAAUUGUUCAACUAUUUGAGUUAA